rnacentral:snoRNA from 1 species
CAAGUUCAGUGAUGAGGCCCUAGAAUACCCUAGACACAGAGCCGAAUCAUUCCUUGUUACCUUCCUUCCAAGAGG